CCUACGGGCGGCAGCAGUGAGGAAUAUUGGUCAAUGGGCGCGAGCCUGAACCAGCCAAGUAGCGUGAAGGAUGACUGCCCUACGGGUUGUAAACUUCUUUUAUAAAGGAAUAAAGUGAGGCACGUGUGCCUUUUUGUAUGUACUUUAUGAAUAAGGAUCGGCUAACUCCGUGCCAGCAGCCGCGGUAAUACGGAGGAUCCGAUCGUUCUCCGGAUUUAUUGGGUUUAAAGGGAGCGUAGAUGGGUUGUUAAGUCAGUUUUGAAAGUUUGCGGCUCAACCGUAAAAUUGCAAUUGAUAAGGGCAGCCGUGAGUACAGUAGAGGUAGGCGGAAUUCGUGGUGUAGCGGUGAAAUGCUUAGAUAUCACGAAGAACUCCGAUUGCGAAGGCAGCCUACUAAACUGCCACUGACAUUGAUGCUCGAAAGUGUGGGUAUCAAACAGGAUUAGAUACCCCUGUAGUC
rnacentral:rRNA from 1 species